GGAGAUAUGGCUCAGAGGUAGAGCAGCUGCCUGGCAAGCAUGAGGACCUGAGUUCAAACCCCAGUACUGCCA
rnacentral:tRNA from 1 species